AGCACAGCUGAGAUAGAAAAACUGAAGAAAAAAGUCAUUUGUAUGGUUCUUUUCGACCUCAAUCUACUUCUCAAUUUGUUUUCUAUUUUUUGCUUUAUCCUAUUCGAUCUUCUCUUCUGCUGUAGCAUCGAAACUGAUUCUCUCCAUCCAGAGUUGUUUUUUCAGGUGGCUUAAUUUACAAUUUCUGAUGCUGAGG